AUUGGUUAGAUUAGUUGUAAUUAAUGAUGUUUUUAUAGGAAAGAGAUAAAUUAAAUGAGAUUUAUAUAUUUUUUUAAUUUGUGUGCAAAAACCUUAAACUACAAAUAUUUAAAAACAGAGGGAGUAUUAUUUUAUCCCAAACUUUUAUUGGGCUUAAUUCUACAUACAAGUACAAUUAAAUACAAUAUAGUUGUUGGGCUUUUAUAAGUCUUGUCACAUAAAUUUUUACAAAGGUCAAUAUUCUUUUUGGAUGAGGGUCAAUUUAAUAGAAGUUAAGCUAUAAUUUUUUUUUCACCAGGGUCAAUUGACCCCUAUGACCAUAUAGUGUCUCCGCCCCUGUUUGGACCAUGAUUAAUUCAGGUGUUAGGGAGAUACUCUUGGCUUCUCAAAACCGGUGGCUUAAUGCUCAGGAGGUGCGAUCUUUAUUCAUGAGGUAUGAUCAAUUCACCUUGUCCACAACGGACCCGCCAGUCAACACUACGGGAUUUCAUUUCUAUCAGUCCAAGAAGUUCACCGACAACGAGAAAGACUAUGUUCGAAAGAAUGGUAACAGGAGGACACAAUGUUCAAAAAAAUUGGUAAGAACACCGUACUAUCUAGGUCGUUGUUUUUAAUUCUGAAGUUGUGUGUCUAUCCCUAGGGGUGAACCUAAGUAUUUUUCUUCUAAUAGUAUAUGAUUUCUAUUGUUAUACAUUCUUUAAUUAGUUGGCAAUUAAUAAUCAUUAUUCAAAAAAUUAUCAAAAUCAAAGUUUAAACCUACAAUUGUCUAUUUGUUUGUCAGUUGUUUCCUAUAUUUGCUUCUAUUUUGCUUAUGUUUUAUUUAUUUUUUAUUAACUUAUGUUUCUUGAUCUAAUUUUGGACCAUGAUUCCAGGUGUUGGUGAAAUUUUGUUGGCUUCUCAAGAAAGAUGGCUAAACGCUCGAGAGGUCCGAUCCCUCUUCAUGAAAUAUGAUGAAUUAACUAUUUUCUCAAAAGAGAGGUAAAAAUGCCUCUCUUUUUCUGGCAUGCAUGUUAGAACAUCUUUAUGACUUUAUCAGUUUAGAACUUAUGAGAAUCUCUCCAAAUUAAAAUAAUAAUAUAUUUUAUUUAGU
rnacentral:sRNA from 1 species